UCCUGUCCCCGCUCUUGCGCCUGCGCCCGGGAGGGUGGGACGCGAGCGCCGGGUGGCUGGCGCGGCACGGCUGGAGGGACGGCGGAGGGCAGGCGACUCGGAGCCUACCGUCCUCUGCUUCUUGACCCCCGACAUGCUGGCUGGCUGGCGGCGGCAGAGCUCGGGUCCAGGGAGCAGAGGCCGAAGGACGCGCGGAUGGCGGCGGCUGCCGGGCUCCCGGGAAGGAGAUGGGCCAACUGAGGCACUGCUCCUCCUCACAAAGUGAAGAAAGCAAGGCCAGCCCCAGGCAACAGUCAGUGGUGGCCCAGCGACUUGUUUCAGUCCAUCCCCAAAAGUAUUCCUGUAGUAAUACGUCUGUGUGUCCACUAACUGGGGUGGGCCCUGUGGAGAGGACGAGAAGGAAGCGCCGGCUGAGGAAGCUUGUGGCUCAGAGGACGAGAAGGAAGCGCCAGCUGAGGAAGCUUGUGGUUCAGACUCCGGGGCUCCAGUGUGUUACCAGAGGAAGACUGCCAGCUUUCCAGAGGGACACCUGAAGAGCUGAGUAGUCAUUGACUGCCCUUCUCCAUGGAAAGGGGAAAAAGAAAAAUAAAUCAGGAGUCAAAAACUGAAAAGGCAGCCUGCCUGUCUGUACAGCAUUGAGAUGUCGAUCUAUUUACUUAUUAAUUUUGAGUAAACUGCCACUACUCCCUUCAAAUGUGAGCAGCCCAGGGGCAAAUACUGUUUGAGUUUCUGUUCUAUUCACAGACUAGCACAUUUUGCAUUUAUGUGAAGUUUAAAUAGCAACAUCCUGUUCUUAUUUCAUUGGAAAAAUUCUUUCAUAUUAGUUCCAACUAUAUCUUGGACCCUGCCCGAUCCCGCCCUAGGACAAAGUAAAUUAAAUGUAGAUUGAGAAAUAGCAAUUUGCA